AACAGCACCCCGAUAUAUCUGGUUGUUAGGUCCGGUUCGCUUUGGUCGGUUGGACCGGACAGGGCACGCCCGCUUCGGUGGGCGUUUU
rnacentral:sRNA from 23 species